rnacentral:lncRNA from 10 species
GGGAGGCGGAGGGUGCAGUGAGCCGAGAUAGUGCCAGCUGAGGCAGGAGAAUUCCCUGGAGGUAGAGGUUACGGUGAGCCAAGAUGGCGCCACCACACUCCAGCCUGAGUGACAAAGCGAGACUCUGUCUCAAAAAAUAAAAAAUAAAGAAAAUUUUAAAUGAAGUGCCAGGGACUUUAUGCGCAUGUCAUGUGGAGCUAGAGGGUCCCGGGGAAGCUGUCUUGCACAAAGGAGCCAUAAACCUCUAAGGGCACCUGCCGGCUGAUGUCUCCUGGCUCUCGCCUCCUCCCUCUUUUCUCGACCUGCUCCUGACCCUGUGAUGUUGUUGGGGCAGUUGAACUGGGUUAUUUGCGUUGCUCACUGCCAUGUCAUCCUUUGUUUUGUAGAUGCCGUGGAAAGCAGAUACUCUAGAACGGAAGGCUCCCUUGAUGGAACUUAGACAGCAAGGCCAGAUGCACAUCCCUGGAAGGACAUCCAUGUUCCGAGAAGAACAGAUAAUCCCUGUAUUUCAAGACCUCUGUGCACUUAUUUAUGAACCUGCCCUGCUCCCACAGAACACAGCAAUUCCUCAGGCUAAGCUGCCGGUUCUUAAAUCCAUCCUGCUAAGUUAAUGUUGGGUAGAAAGAGAUACAGAGGGGCUGUUGAAUUUCCCACAUACCCUCCUUCCACCAAGUUGGAACAUCCUUGGAAAUUGGAAGAGCACAAGAGGAGAUCCAGGGCAAGGCCAUUGGGAUAUUCUGAAACUUGAAUAUUUUGUUUUGUGCAGAGAUAAAGACCUUUUCCAUGCACCCUCAUACACAGAAACCAAUUUUCUUUUUUAUACUCAAUCAUUUCUAGCGCAUGGCCUGGUUAGAGGCUGGUUUUUUCUCUUUUCCUUUGGUCCUUCAAAGGCUUGUAGUUUUGGCUAGUCCUUGUUCUUUGGAAAUACACAGUGCUGACCAGACAGCCUCCCCCUGUCCCCUCUAUGACCUCGCCCUCCACAAAUGGGAAAACCAGACUACUUGGGAGCACCGCCUGUGAAAUACCAACCUGAAGACACCGUUCAUUCAGGCAACGCACAAAACAGAAAAUGAAGGUGGAACAAGCACAGAUGUUCUUCAACUGUUUUUGUCUACACUCUUUCUCUUUUCCUCUACCAUGCUGAAGGCUGAAAGACAGGAAGAUGGUGCCAUCAGCAAAUAUUAUUCUUAAUUGAAAACUUGAAAUGUGUAUGUUUCUUACUAAUUUUUAAAAAUGUAUUCCUUGCCAGGGCAGGCAAGGUGGCUCACGCCUGUAAUCCCAGCACUUCAGGAGGCUGAGGUGGGCGGAUCACCUGAGGUCAGGAGUUUGAGACCAGCCUGAUGAAACCCUGUCUCUACUAAAAAUACAAGAAUUAGCCGGGCGUGGUGGCGCAUGCCUGUAGUAUCAGCUACUCAAGAGGCUGAGGUGAGAUUAUCGCUUGAACCCAGGAAACGGAGGUUGUAGUGAGCGGAGAUCGCGCCACUGCACUCCAGCCUGAGUGACAGAGUGAGAAUCCAUCUCAAAAAAAACAAAAAACAAAAUUGCUUGCUAAAGAAGUGGUCUCCUGAGGUCUUAAGACAUUCCUGACAGUGUCUUGAGUGGGUGGGAGAGAGGCUGCUGUCAUUGCGCUGUGGAAUUUCACAGAUGAGAACCACGCCUAGCCAAAAUCACUUUUCCUGUUUGCCUCAGUGACACAGCUGCAGGGACCCUCGUGGAUGUUGUAUUAAAUAAAUUUGACCUUUGCUCUUUGCAGAUCUGUGAAAUGUUGUCUUCUGAGGGGCCACAUGCAUCUAUAGUGCUGAGGACUCCUUGGGCCUCUGAAGUCACAGAGAGAACCGAGCAGGUCUAUGUUUUUGUUUUGUUGUUUUGAGACGGAGAUUCGCUCUUGUUGCCCGGGCUGGACUGCAGCGGCGCAACCUCUGCUCACUGCAACCUCCGCCUCCUGGGUUCAAGCAGUUCUCCUGUCUCAGCCUCCCGAGUAGCUGGGAUUACAGGCACAUGUCACCACGCCUGGCUAAUUUUUGUAUUUUUAGUAGAGAUGGGGUUUCACCACGUUGGCCAGGCUGAUCUCGAAUGCCUGACCUUUGGUGAUCUGCCCGCCUUGUCCUCAUGUGUGCUCCACAGGCCUUUGGGUUGGGAUUGCAGGCGUGAGCCACCAUGCCCAGCCUAGACUCUUUUGACAAUAUGAUGAAAGCUGUUGGUUCCUUUCCCCAACACACACACACCGAGUUGUAUCACGAAAAUGUCAUACAAUUUCCAGGUUUUCUGAGUGGUGGGCUCAGAUUGAGGUCAAAGGAUCAGACGACCUCUAACGACCUUCAUGUCUCUGUUGAUGAUCUGGGGACAGCCAGAUCCCCUGUGUCCAGGGAGUUCCUUAGUCCCUUGCCACCACCAGAGAAGGGCAAUUGCCACGGGAGCUGCAAAGACCCUAUUCCUACUCCUGGUGCCUUACUUAUGCAGCACGACUGAAUUUUUUGUUUUGUUUUGUUUUGUUGAGACAGGGGCUUGCUCUGUUGCCCAGGCUGGAGUGCAGUGGCACAACAAUGGCUCACCGCAGCCUCGAACCCCUGGGCUCAAGCGAUCCUCCCAUCUCAGCUUCCUGGGUAGCUGGGACCAGAGGCGUGAGCCGCCAUAGCUGGCUAAUUUUUAAUUUUUUUUUUGCAGAGAUGAGGUUUCACCAUGGUGCCCAGGCUGGUCUCGAACUUCUGGGCUCAAGUGAUCCUCCCUCCUUGGCCUCGCAAAGUGCUGGGAUUGCAGGCAUGAGCCACCGCCCCCGGCCUGUGGAGCACACAUGAGUUUAAAAUUACUUUCCCUUCUGCCUAUAUUUCCGAGGAGGAAACUUCAUGCGCAGGGAUCUUUCUUAGUGGAUUUAAUGGCUAAAAGGUCUGUCUGAAUCCAGGACGCUGGCUUUAGCCUUCCUCGGCAGCUGCCGUAACCCCGGUGUCUAAACCUGAAGCAUCCCAGGAGCACCCACUCCAGGAGUUUUCUCGGCCGCGGAACUCAUUAGUUAGAGCGCCCUCUUGUGUUCUCAUGUGGUAAUCGGUCACUGAAGGACUUAAAAUGGUCCUUAGCCAACACACAGUAAAACUUUUCCCUCUUCUGACCCCAAGAGGUCAGCCACCCAUUUCAUGAGCAUAUACUGGUCGCCCCAUCAGCGUUCUCUGAUUGGCUAACUGAACCCACUCCCCGACCUAGACUCAAGACAGGCGAAGUGACGCUUAGGUCAACAUUCACUCACUAAAGCAACGACUGUCGGGCGAUUUUGUCUCCCGCUGGUUUUGGAAUGGUGUCUGGAGACAUUUUUGGUUGUCACAGCUGGGUGGGUGUGCUCCCGGCAUCUGGUGGGUAGAAACCAAGCAUGCUCCUAAACAUCCUACAGGCACAGAACCGUCUCCCACGACCAAGCAUGAUCAAGUCCCAAAUGCCAAUAAUGGCCAGGUUGAGAAACUCUGCACAGAAGCAUCCAGUUAUUUGUCUGUUUGCUCAACAAGCUUGUGCUCAUCAUGCUCUGUGUUCCUGACGCUGUGCUGGGUGUUGGCGGUGGGAAGAUUACAAGAGUCACAUGGCAGCUGUCCUCCUGGAAGGUACAACCCAGUAGAGAUGCAGACUAACAGAGAGCCAAUUACAAAGCAGUGUGACAAGCGUCAUGGUGGAAAAUUAAAAGCUCAAACAAGGGCACAUGGGAGGGGCUUCCAACACAGACUUUGGGGGAUCCAGGAAGGUCUAAGAGGAAAGUGGGUCUCACCAAAGCCUUGACCAUAGGCAGAGGGUACCAGUGGAAAAGGUGGGGUGAAGAACAUUGAGGACAAAAGGAAGAAGUGCAGGAAGGCCCUGAGGCAAGGGAGUGGGGGGCAGGGCACUUAGAUCUCUCAAGUUGCCUGCCUGACCCAAGUGUAGUGUACUUCCUUUUGUUCCUGCUCUAAAACUUUUUAAUAAACUCUCACUCCUGCUCUAAAACUUGCCUUGGUCUCUCCCUGUGCCUUAAAACCACUUAAAACCACCUCUGCCCCUCAGCUGAGUUCUGUCUUUGAGAAGGCAAGCAUCAAGUUUGCUGCAGACCCAUUGGAUUCACCACUGGUAACAGAAGUUGGGGUAAGGCGUGGGGCCUGAGAAUUCUCUAAGAGUAGGUGCAGCCGGGCGCGGUGGCUCACGCCUGUAACCCCAGCACUUUGAGAGGCUGAGGUGGGUGGAUCAGCUGAGGUCAGGAGUUCGAGACCAGCCUCAAUAUGGGGAAACCCCAUCUCUACUAAAAAUACAAAAUCAGCCGGGCGUAGUGGUGCA